UACAUAGGGGCCAAGCGUUGUCCGGAAUUACUGGGCGUAAAGGGCAUGUAGGCGGCGGUCUAAGUCAGAAUUAAAAGGCAGAAGCUUAACUUCUGUAUGGUUCUGAGACUGGAUCGCUAGAGUUUGGGAGAGGGAAGUGGAAUUAACAGUGUAGCGGUGAAAUGCGUAGAUAUUGUUAAGAACACCCGUGGCGAAGGCGGCUUCCUGGACCAAAACUGACGCUGAGGUGCGAGAGCGUGGGUAGC
rnacentral:rRNA from 1 species